UGCCCUACGGGACGCAGCAGUGAGGAAUAUUGGUCAAUGGGCGGAAGCCUGAACCAGCCAAGUCGCGUGAGGGAAUAAGGCCCUACGGGUCGUAAACCUCUUUUGCCGGGGAGCAAGGGCCGGGACGCGUCCCGGCCCGGAGAGUACCCGGAGAAAAAGCAUCGGCUAACUCCGUGCCAGCAGCCGCGGUAAUACGGAGGAUCCGAGCGUUAUCCGGAUUUAUUGGGUUUAAAGGGAGCGUAGGUGGAUUGUUAAGUCAGUUGUGAAAGUUUGCGGCUCAACCGUAAAAUUGCAGUUGAAA
rnacentral:rRNA from 1 species